UAUGUGAAGUAGGCCCACCCGCAGGCGGGUCGUCCUUCUUCACGAAGCCCUUAUUCGCACUGCGUGCUCAACGGGGA
rnacentral:ncRNA from 1 species